AGCGAACGCUGGCGGCAGGCCUAACACAUGCAAGUCGAACGGAUCCUUCGGGAUUAGUGGCGGACGGGUGAGUAACACGUGGGAACGUGCCCUUUGGUUCGGAACAACUCAGGGAAACUUGAGCUAAUACCGGAUGUGCCCUUCGGGGGAAAGAUUUAUCGCCAUUGGAGCGGCCCGCGUCUGAUUAGCUAGUUGGUGAGGUAAAGGCUCACCAAGGCGACGAUCAGUAGCUGGUCUGAGAGGAUGAUCAGCCACAUUGGGACUGAGACGCGGCCCAAACUCCUACGGGAGGCAGCAGUGGGGAAUCUUGCGCAAUGGGCGAAAGCCUGACGCAGCCAUGCCGCGUGAAUGAUGAAGGUCUUAGGAUUGUAAAAUUCUUUCACCGGGGACGAUAAUGACGGUACCCGGAGAAGAAGCCCCGGCUAACUUCGUGCCAGCCGCCGCCGUAAUAC
rnacentral:rRNA from 1 species